rnacentral:rRNA from 1 species
CCUACGGGAGGCUGCAGUGGGGAAUAUUGGGCAAUGGGCGCAAGCCUGACCCAGCAACGCCGCGUGAAGGAAGAAGGCUUUCGGGUUGUAAACUUCUUUUAUCAGGGACGAAGCAAGUGACGGUACCUGAAGAAUAAGCCACGGCUAACUACGUGCCAGCCGCAGCGGUAAUAAGUAGGUGGCAAGCGUUAUCCGGAUUUACGGGGUGGAAAGGGCGUGUAGGCGGGAGUGCAAGUCAGAUGUGAAAGCUAUGGGCUCAACCCAUAGCCUGCAUUUGAAACUGUACUUCUUGAGUGCUGGAGAGGCAAGCGGAAUUCCGUGUGUAGCGGUGAAAUGCGUAGAUAUAAGGAGGAACACCAGUGGCGAAGGCGGAUUGCUGGACAGUAACUGACGCUGAGGCGCGAAAGCGUGGGGAGCAAACAGGAUUAGAUACCCUAGUAGUC